AAGUGUGGGAGGUGUGGCUCGUUGAAAGGGAUGUGAGAGAGUGAGCGCAUGUGUGGUAAUAGAGAGGAAGAGUGAAGCGCAAUCUGCUGUAUGGGAGACACUCAUAUAGAUUGGGAUGCACAAAUCGAAUCAUUCGAUUUAUAUACUUAAAUUAGAAUGUUCGAUUACUUUUGUGCCAACUCAUGACUAUUUGAUUUACUUAUAGUUGUCGUCACAACGAUGAUGGGGGCGGUCUAUGGUACAGAUGAAAGUUGGGGAAGGCGUACAGAGAAUUUGUUUUUUGUGCCUGAAGGGAGGACACGUGUGACGUUGGGUUUAUAACGGAGAAGAGUUUGAAGGUGUGGGAUUCAACGUUGGAUUCGAAGGCUUAGAAGGGGAGCCUAGCCGAUCAUAUUCGUUAACGAGGGAUAUGGAAGCAGACUCGGGUUGAUGGGUGGGUCAUUGUGGCUGUGGGCUUUGGGAGAAAAAUAUUUUUGGGUAAAUUUCGAAAAGGAAAAAAAAUUUAGGAUUUAGUGUGGGAAAAGGCAAAAAGUCUCCAGCACUAGUUUCCUAACCAUAGCCGCACCCACUUUCUCCGUUGCAAAGGUGGCUAUCACCUCUGCUUCCCUGAUUCGAAGAGUCGUCGUUGCCGGCGGCAGUUGCGCAGGUCUGGGCACUGUGUUAGGGUCGCAGCGGAGGACUGAGGUUGUGGUGCAGUCAUUGUCUCCAGUGUUGAACGAGGUUCCGCACGCUGAAGGAUGAAGUGGGCCGUACUUGCCGUCUAAUGUGGAGAUCUGGGCGCCGUUCAACGGAAAAGAAGGGUCUCGAAGGUCCAAGGAAUCAAAACGCUGCCGCUGAAACAAGGCAUCACAGAAUCCGCACUAUCUCACUUUAUUUUUCCUGUCAGAUCUCAGGUUUUCACUGAGGAUUAGCACUUUCCCGCGGAAUUCGGUUCUCGCGUUAGCUGGAUGCUUAUACAAUUCAAAGUCAGAGCAAAUUGGAAGAGGAGCAAUUGGUUCUGCUUUUCUGGUUCUUCACAAGUAUGUGGAGAAGAGGACAAUAACAAGGUAUACAUCUUUCUCGAGCUUUUAACAUAAGGAUCAUUGGGAAGUGGUUUGAAGUAUCUCCAUGAUUGUAACACGGUUCACAAGGUAGAACAUUGCACAACGUUGGCCGAUGGAGUUCAACCGUAUCUUCGACAGUGAGGGUCAAGACUCGGAUGGGGACAGUUCAGAUGAUUCUUCUGGACAUUAUCAUCGUACUGACGAAGAAUACGAUGAAGAAUACUGACCAAAACACUCUUUUUUGUUUGGCUAACUAAGCCAAUUAAUCAACCAUUGUUGCUUGAUCCAUCAAUCCUCGUGGUUGUUCACUGGUCAAACCGAACAUAAGUGUCCCUGGUUUAGGGUUUGAAACCUAUAGGCUCUGGUCUUCCUAAUUUGCAUCCAGGACCCACAAGUGCAUCAGCAGACUUACGGUCCCCCGUCAACGACCGCCUUGUAACUGGUUACCACACCGGUCUUUCAUUAUAACAGCUACGAUUUUGGGUUUCUGCUUUGAGGUUCAAACUUGGCACUCCAUCACUUGGGCUUCAUGAAUCUCCUGCGUGCGGAUUGUAAUCGACGUGCUACCUCUUAUGGUUUACUUUAACCCGUAAGGAUGAAGCCAUCACAUGCAUUAUUCAUGCACCUGGACUUCGGUUUAUCUCGUUAUUACGUCUUGCACUCUUUUGAAACCUUUGAUCGAAUCGAAAAGCUCGUUCCUGCCCCAGACCGAACCGCAUAGCUCUUCAGAAUUUUCGCUCCACCCUCGGACGA